rnacentral:piRNA from 1 species
UGAUCUCCGCUAGCUACCGCACACAGGCA